AUUUAUAGACAGUUCGAAACAUCAUCCAUCUGGACGAGGAACUAGAGGAUAAGUUCACAGUCCUUUAAGAUGCGACUUGUACUCAUCUCCUUGCUGGUCGUGUUGGUGUCUGGGACUGUGAGAGCAGAGAAUGACGUAGACAACGACGAGUCUGUAGAGGUGGAACGUCGACAAGGGUCUAUUAUUUUAUUGUGUAGAUUCUUCGGAGAAAAAUGUAUUUAUCAAAGACAAAUUGCGGAGUCUCAGCCAGCACAGAUACGAUAACUUCAAAUCAGCCCAUGGUUUUAUCUUGAUUAGAUAAAAAAGAAAAUGGCGAAA